UACGUAGGUGACAAGCGUUGUCCGGAUUUCCUGGGCGUAAAGAGCGCGCAGGCGGUCGUUCAAGUCGAGUGUGAAAGCCCCCGGCUCAACUGGGGAGGGUCAUUCGAUACUGAUCGACUCGAAGGCAGGAGAGGGAAGUGGAAUUCCCGGUGUAGUGGUGAAAUGCGUAGAUAUCGGGAGGAACACCAGUGGCGAAGGCGACUUCCUGGCCUGUUCUUGACGCUGAGGCGCGAAAGCGUGGGGAGCAAACAGG
rnacentral:rRNA from 1 species